ACAAGAAAUAAUCUGUCUUAAAUUAAUAUAUUGAAUUUAACUUUUAAGUGAAAAGGCUUAAAUAAUCUGAAGGGAAGAUAAGACCCUAUAAAACUUUAUAUUAAGAAGUGAUGGAUAUGUUUUAUUUAAAGGUUAUUAUUUUAAAGUAUUUGGUUGGGGCGACAGAAAUAGAAGAAAGAGUAUCUGUUUUUUUUUCUUACAACAAUGUUUGGGUGGAGGAUCCUGAAAUGGAUUAAAAGAUUAAGUUACUUUAGGGAUAACAGCGUAAUUUUCUUUAAGAGUUCUUAUCGAUAAGAGAGUUUGCGACCUCGAUGUUGAAUUAAAGGUUCUUUAUGGAGUAGAGACUAUAAAAGAAGGUCUGUUCGACCUUUAAAACUUU
rnacentral:rRNA from 1 species